rnacentral:rRNA from 1 species
GAUGAACGCUGGCGGCGUGCCUAAUACAUGCAAGUCGAGCGAACAGACGAGGAGCUUGCUCCUCUGUCGUUAGCGGCGGACGGGUGAGUAACACGUGGAUAACCUACCUAUAAGACUGGGAUAACUUCGGGAAACCGGAGCUAAUACCGGAUAAUAUAUUGAACCGCAUGGUUCAAUAGUGAAAGACGGUUUUGCUGUCCCUUAUAGAUGGAUCCGCGUCGCAUUAGCUAGUUGGUAAGGUAACGGCUUACCAAGGCAACGAUGCGUAGCCGACCUAAAAGGGUGAUGUGCCACACUGGAACUGAGACACGGUCCAGACUCCUACGGGAGGCAGCAGUAGGGAAUCGUCCGCAAUGGUCGAAAACUUGACAGAGCAACGCCGCGUGAAUGAUGAAGGUCUUCGGAUCGUAAAACUCUGUUAUUAGGGAAGAACAAAUGUGUAAGUAACUAUGCACGUCUUGACGGUACCUAAUCAGAAAGCCACGGCUAACUACGUG